CGAGCUGUUGACAGCAGGCUAGAGUGUGUCUGCGGGAGUCUGACUGAAAGCUUUUAUAGGAAGGAGUAGACGAGCUGUGAGCUGGGUGUUUAUCUCUGUGUUGUUUCGCAAUGAAGGGAAGCCUGUCAUUUAGGUAGACGUUUCAUCUCUGUCUAGCUAGCUUCAGGAAAAACAAAAAAAAGAGUAGUUGAACCGCGCUCAUCAUUCACCAGAUAGAGAACGAGCUGCAGCCUGGAGCUGGAACCGGAGGGGUUUGUGUCUGCCUUGCUCAAUGUGCUCAAGGCAACGUCUGACUUGGGCCUUGUGACAGGAGGUUGAACAAAGGUGGAUGCUGCUGCUCCCAGGAGUGGCAGGUUAUCAAACAGAACUCCAGGGCCAGGUGUGGGACACCUUUCUACCAGCUGUCGGCGUGGCAACCUGAAGACACUUGAAAACAAUACUGCCUAUUGCCAUCAACCUUGGAUCACAAAAGAAUGGACAUUAAGACCCAAUUCCCGAAGAUACCACACAAUCCGAAUACAGAAGACAAUCAAACUGAAACUGAGCUGGAAGUUUCCUCCCUGGGAGCCAGAGUUCCUACUACCAGAAGGUGCCGUGAGGCUGGAUGAGGAGAAAAGCCAUCGGAUUUCACUCAGCAGCUGACCCCAUGCGCUGCAAUACUGACCGGUCAGGCCAGAUGUGCCCCGUGGCACACUAAGAGCAUGUCUACUCUGGGCUGAAACCAACGCCUUCCUGAUUAGAUCUGAGGCUUCCUUCCCAGGAGGGAAGGCAUACCUCCUUCUGUAGGCAGAGUUGGCCAAAGGCCUAUAGCUAGGGAGAUCACAGACAGGCCCUAUGGGGGAAUCUACUACCAAUGUUUUCAUGAGCAAACAUGUAGUUAAAAUAACUUCUGAAUAUUUAUGAUUGUACACAUAGACUGGUGCAGCGCUCAGCCUUGGCCAGAAAAGCCUCUUUUGACAGUGGGACACACACACACACACACACACACA